AAUAUUGGACAAUGGGGGGAACCCUGAUCCAGCCAUGCCGCGUGUGUGAAGAAGGCCUUCUGGUUGUAAAGCACUUUAAGCGGGGAGGAAGGGCUUUUGGCUAAUACCCUAAAGUCUUGACCGUUCCUCCCGGAUUAACACCGGCUAACCUCGUUGCAACAAGCCGCGGUAAUACAGAGGGUGCAAGCGUUAAUCGGAUUUACUGGGCGUAAAGCGCGCGUAGGUGGUUAAGUAAGAUAAGUGUGAAAUCCCCGGGCUUAACCUGGGAACUGCAUUCAUUACUGGUGGGCUAGAGUACGGUAGAGGAUAGUAGAAUUUCCUGUGUAGCGGUGAAAUGCGUAGAUAUAGGAAGGAACACCAGUGGCGAAGGCGACUACCUGGACUAAUACUGACACUGAGGUGCGAAAGCGUGGGGAGCAAAC
rnacentral:rRNA from 1 species